rnacentral:rRNA from 1 species
GACGAACGCUGGCGGCGUGCUUAACACAUGCAAGUCGAACGGAAAGGCCCUGCUUUUGUGGGGUGCUCGAGUGGCGAACGGGUGAGUAACACGUGAGUAACCUGCCCUUGACUUUGGGAUAACUUCAGGAAACUGGGGCUAAUACCGGAUAGGAGCUCCUGCUGCAUGUUGGGGGUUGGAAAGUUUCGGCGGUUGGGGAUAGACUCGCGGCUUAUCAGCUUGUUGGGGGGGUAGUGGCUUACCAAGGCUUUGAGGGGUAGCCCGCCUUGGAGGGGGGCCGGGCACCAUGGGACUAAGGGAGGGACCAGUAGGCAAACGGCAGCAAUGGGGGGGAAUCUUACGGAAAGGGGCGGAGUCUGAGAUGAAGAUCGCCGGAGCGGGAAUAUCGGCUUCCGGGUAAGAACCAAUUUGUACGGUAACAGAGAGGGAGUGACGGUAAUUGGUAAAAAAGCCACGGCUAACUACGUG